GGGCGGGCUGGAUAACUGGAGCGAGGCGGAGGAGGGACGAGCUCCGAGCUUGGAAGUGCGGGGUGAGGACUUGCAGACUUGUCAUCGAACAACUGGUCCCAAAGAGAGAAGCCAGGCCCUGAUGAGAUACUGUGGGAUGCAAUUGCCAGCCAACUAAUCUUCCUCAACUGUUAUAGACGUUGGGCUGCUAAAGCUGGAACAGGAAGGGCCCAAGAUCCGCAUUAAUUCUGUUCCAAAUCCUGUUAGAAGGCCAAGCCCUUGUUGCAGUGCUGGACUCCACCCCCACAGUCAACUCAUGAAGAAGUGAAUGAAGAAAUGGAUGAAUGGCAGAGGUAUAGCAUAAC